UCCUUCAAAUCAGGAUCUGACGUUUACUCGGUCUCACGGAGGAAAAACAGAGUCCUCAGAGAAUUCACCUCCUCGGCUCUGUGCACCUUUGGACUCGAACACCAACACAGUCUGGUUCUGGCUCAGUCCUGUCCCGUGACCCUGCUGGUCCAGAUUUUGCUUUCACGUUUUUAUGCUUCAGAAAACACCGAAAAGUGGAGAAAAAGUGACGCCUAAUAUUUACACGUAAGUUUGUCUGAUGCUCUUUAAACCAGUGGAGUGGAGGAGCUCACAUGGGGGUCAUUUUUUUCAGAUGAUCCAGCAGGUGACAGGUGUUUGUGUAGAAGUAAAUUGUGUAUUGAAUAAAAGAAAAAGCUUAAAAAAUAAAAUAAAAAUAAAUAAUCAUAAUAAUGUCUGUUUAAAAUAGAAGUGUCUCGAGCAGUGAUAGAUUCCCACAACUAGAGGGAGCUCUUGUUCAAUGUUCUCCUCUACAUCUCACAGUCUGAUAUGGUGGAUGGAAAGUGCAAUGCAAAUUUAAAAAGGAUGAAACACUUUUACAAGGUGGAGACAAAUUUACAUUUGGAAACAUUUUAACAAUUUAAAAAACAGAAUUAUAUUCGCUUAACAUUUUAAUGAAGGCCAAAACAAAUAUACCUUUAAGAAAACAAAAUCAGAAUUACUGAAGCAGUGAAACAGUUUUACCAGUCAAGAAACAAAAUUACAAACAGCAGAUUCUACCACAAAAAGAAUAUACCAAUGAUUUUCAAAAUAAAAGACGUAUGUAAUAUGAAAAUAUGCAACAGCCAGGGAAUUGAUAUUUGACAUUAACAAUCCUGUUUUCACUUAAAUAUUUUGAUUGAGACUGACAACAGAACACCUUAAAAUGUGUUCCUGACAAUCACAGUUAUAUAUGGAAUUUCAUAAUAAAAACCAUUGGAAAUGUAGCAUAUACAUUUAUUUUGAAAUUCACAAUCAGAUUCUGAUUGGCAGGAACACAUUUUGAGCUGUUCUCUUACCAGUCUAAAUCUAAAACAUUUAAGUGAAAACAGGGUUGUUUAUCCUUUCUGAGCAGUAUUAAGGGCAGGCUGAAAACAUUUAUUUUUUCAUCAGUUUACACUUUGGGUUGUGUGAAUGUAUGUGUGAGCGCAUCGAACUCCAUGUGUGGGUAUUGUGAUGUGGAGAUUGUGUGCUCGGAAAUUUUGUACAAAUGCAUAUAAAAUGUUUGUACUUUGUAUUUUAUUAACUUGAUUUCCUCUGUAAUUUUCAAGUGUUGUAAUUGUGAAGCAUGUUGUGUUUCCUUGGGUAUGUAAUGUGCUAUACAAAUAAAAAUAUAUAAUUUUAUUUUAAAAA